rnacentral:lncRNA from 1 species
CUGCUCCAGAAGCCAAAGCUGAUGUGCCAGCCAGGGAGCCCACACCAGUCCCACCCCUUGGGGAAGUUGCCAGGAAUUAUCCUAGGCUCUUCAGACUGGAGCCACUAGGUGACAGCUCUGCAGGACAAGCUCAAAGGGCCUCCUGGCCCUGCAGGCUUCCCACAUCAUAUCCCUGGAGAUGAACCCUGGGUUGGAAUGGUCGGGUGGUCAGAUGCAACCCUGGAAACUUGGAGUUCUGAGCCUGGAGUGAGUGGCACUCUGAGGUUUAGUCAUCUCUUCCCUCACCAAUGAGGCACGACAACGUGGGCAGCUUUCUUGAUUCUGAAAGAUAAAGAUGUCACAAAUAAAAAUAAAACAACUACAUGUCUGCUCCACACUGACAUUGUUAUUUUUGGUCACCUCCUUAAACCAAGAAAUGUCUAUUAUCCCAGCCUCUAUUUUUUUCUGCAUAAUAAAUCAAAAUAUUUUUGCUAGGAAAAAAAGGGUGGGAUAGCAACAAACCCUGACAUGAAGGGUCAUAAUUAAAAGUUUUCCUAAUUUCAAAGUCAUGUGAUUUUUUUCAAAAGUAUACAAAUAAACACAUUGAAAGCUACACAUGAUCCACAAAUGUGGAGGUGGAUGGAUGAUUGUAUAAAGCAGAUGGAACUCUUGAGUUCUUUUUCUUCUAGCAAAACUUUCUAAAUAAAAUCAGAAUAUAUGCCCUGAUCUCCAAAGAGCAGUUAUUAGUAAACUUUUCCUCACUUUCCUAAUUUGGUUACACAAUUCAGAAAAGCCCCUGCUCAUUCUUUGGGGGUUGACAAUUCAACCCCUGAAUGUCUCUAGAAGUAUAUUCUUGCUUAAAGUCUGUCCCUCAAUUGCAGUAACAGUGAUGUACUAGUUUACCUAUUCUAAUAAUCUUUGGCAAGAUCUUUGGCUCAAAGUGGAGGAGCAAGGAAAGAAAAAUACCCUAACAUAGGCAGAGUGUCCUCGAACGUGAACUUCCAAGCCUUUCUUACCCAGCAGCUAAGAGGUCCUCAUUCUCCCCCCACUUAGCAAAUUAUGUAUAAACAAAUUACCUUCCUGGGCUGGUUCCCUCUGAAUUACUCCUUAGCCUCCGAGUGGUUUUCCAUCAGGACGAACCUUUUCCUUUCCCUUAUGCACCAGCAAACAUACUGAUACAAUUUAAAGGUCAUGUUCUUUUCAAACUGACAGAGCCCUCCAAAGUUUUGACGAGAGGCCCUCCAAGCCUCACACCCUACAGGCGGAAAGGAAUUAAGUAAAGCAUCACUUGGUGGAAGCUCAAUCAUGUGAACUGAUUAGAAAACGAGUCUGUGGAGAAGGGGCCUUUGCAAGGUGAUGGGCAGCUCAUCCUGAAAGGAGAUGUCACACUGCAAGGAAGAGAGCCCCUGCCUCUGGGGGUGGGGGACCCUGCAUGCAAGGGUCAAUGAAGAUAUAAUUACCUUCCCACAAGAAGCCUCUUUAUUUCCAAAUCCCCAAUGAAUGCCACUUAAUUAGCCUCACCUUGUGAUUCACAGAUAGUCCAAGUUUACCCCUAAACCCAAAACUGAAUUAACAGCAUCAUUUCUUAGGCUCAGAAGGACAUUUCCUUGGUACUAAAGAAUUGCCAAGAGUAUGGAUUCUGCAUAAAUAUGCAUUGUGUGUAGACAUUGAUAUAUUUAUUUACAGGUGCAUUUGUGUUAUCAGGGGACAGGUAGUUCAUGAUUUUUUUCCUGCCUCUGAAAUAAAAAGGGAGCAAUUGAGAUGAUACCAUGGCGUGGAUGACAUGGCAGAUGCAGUCUUCUGGGAAUCCAAUCGUGAAACUGGGUAUUCCGCUGCUAAUAUUACUAUUAUUAUUUGAUGGUUUUGUGUUGAUUACUUUGUCCUUGAACUUAAAACUGCUGAAGUUCUCCUGAGAUGUGACACUGCUUGAUGGUCCCAGAGGCUCCUGAUGUUCUAUCUUAAAUUGGUGCACAUGUGAUGAUGUCAUCGGUCCCAAAGAAGGAGACCAUGGAGAGGACCCCAGACAAGGAUGUGCUAGGUGGCUUGCACCCCUCACUCAGCUCAGCACUCUGUCCAAGGCCAUUCCUCUCAGGCUCUCCUUCCUGCCUGGCCCCUCCUGAUUCACCUGAGUGUCCCCUCUUCAAGAGACACUCUGUAACUUUAAGCUUUAUCUUUUAGAACAAAACUGUUCUAACUCCAAACAUGUGCCAAGAACUGGAAUAAUUUGGUUGGGGAUGGGGGCUUCUUUGGUUGUGACUUCACACACAACUUCUAAGUGAUCCCGGAGUUUGUAGAGCUUGUUAAAUUUUUACAGGAAUAACUUUCCUUUGAAGCUUUCCCUUGCUCAGUUUAAUUGACUGAUGUGCCAAAGUCCAUGACCUUUGUUGCCCCUGACCUGGGAAACUGGGGUUGUAAUUCUGGAAUUCAGUCAUCAAAUGGGUUCUUCCUGUCAUUGCUCUUCAGUUGACCUGGUGUCACUCUGUACUACAUCACGUGUCUUUCCAAAAUGAAGUACCCGCUUCUCUCCAUCUACACUAGCCUCAACCAUUUCCUCCAGCUGCCCUAACUCCUCUUCCAAACUUGUCCUGAGGACCCCAGAGAAAGAAUCAUGGUGGUUCAUGGCAGUCCAUCUUCCCAAUCUUCUUCCCACUCCUGCCCCCAUGGUGGUCUUCCCCAAGGUCUGUAUGUACUGUGGGCACAUGUUCAACCUGUGGAUAAGAGACAGGACAUCCCAAAGCAGACAGUCAUUGCCCUCAAAAUCCAGACUAUGCCUCCCAUGGCCAUGCAAUCAACAAGCCAAGAGUGUUCAGAAACCAUGAGAAAAGAGCACCGGUGUUCUUAUGAAGAUUACACUUCAUGGCUUUUUUUUUAAUUAAUUUUAUUGGUACAUUUUAGGUGUACAAUAGAAUGACAUUCAUCAUUGGAAAUUUGCACCUUUACAUAAUCUCUCUUGGUUGUUAUUUUUUCCCCAUUCCCCUGCCCUCCCUUCAACCCCUUCAUCCUUCCCUAUUUACUGUCAGGACGCUUUUUUAUAAGACCUUUGCAUAUUCUUAUUAUGCGGGGGUGGAAGGGAGGAGGUGAAGUAGAUGAGAACUCAAUAAUCAAUCAGCAUUUACUAAACACCUUUUAUUGCCAAGCCUUCCAGCUAUUGGCUGGAGAUGCAAAAAAUAGGAUUCUGUCCUGCAUUUUAGGAGGCUCUCAGUGGCUUCAAGAGAUGGUCCCUGAAAGAAGCAAUUAAUUGUGUGGUCAUCUUGGAUGGACUACAGGUUAAUGGAAACUGAUAAGGACAUGUGCGAAGUUUUUCAAAGGUGACAAAGAUUUGGGUUCCCAUAUUUUAAUUUGGUCUCUUUCCUAAAUGAUUGCCACACUGGUUACUCAUUCAGUAAAACAUUGUGAAAUAUGGUGAGACUAACACAUCCAAUACUCAGAUCCUCUCUCUUCCAUAUAAGAUGAGGAGCUUUCUUUUAAAGCAGGAUGGAAGGUGGAUCCCAAGUGGGCUCUUCCCAAACUUGCUAAAUCAGUCUCCCUCCAGUUCUGGAGGAGGGAUCUGCACAGCUGCUCACCAGUGCCACAGAGGGAAUGAAUCCAAGACCUUGAAAUAGCUGAGGCUCUUUCCUUAUUUAAAACUUUGUUCCUGGAAGAAGUUUAGGGAUGUUUUAGAAAUGUCUUAAAUUUGUCCUUCAGAGUAGCAUCUCCUCCUUCCCUGGGGAGUCACUGUUUCUGUUCUCUAUGAAGAUGACAGGACAGAGCUGUGAUCUAUAGAUAAAGAGGGGUUGGGCCGGUGAGGACCCCUCACUCCCACAACCAAGCAAAUGCUUUCAACCGAGCAUGAGGGACAGGGUUCAGCUUGCCCCAAAGGGGCGAGACAACCCAAGCCAGGGGGAGGGAGGGUUAUGUUUUAAAUCUUUUAGGACACUUCUACUUAUUAUCAACAACUGUCUUUUAAAAUACUUUUCAUGGAACUUUCAUUUAUCUGUUUUCAUGAGGCGCAAACCCACUGUGCUACAGCAAGCUCAAACCAAGCAAGCAUUUGAGAGAAACACUCCUCGGGUCUAUGGAGAAAUAAUGAAAUGAAGUCCCUAUCAUUUCAUAGCAGCCCAUUUAUGACAAACCUGACCAAUACCAGCAGCCCCAUGCCUGAAUGUCUGAUGUGCGCGAGGUCCAUUUCAACCAAGAGGAAAGGACCGAGUCUCCUAGACCUGGCUUUAGAAGUGGCUUCCUUAUUGUUUUCCCCCUCCAGUACUGGGGAUAUAACAUACGGCCUUGGCACUGAACUACACCCCCAAACCCCUCUUUUAUUUUUUUACUUUGAGCAGGGCCUAUCUAAGUUACUGCUAAGUUGCCCAGUCUGGGCUCAAACUUGCCAUCUAAGGGGGGCCACCCUGGAGAUGUGUCUGUACUUUGGAAGACUCUGGAUCCUAUACCUGGCCAGUUUCCCAUGACUAAGCAAAGUGCUAUGGGCUGUUGAUUCCUCCUACAUGCAGAUGCUGUGCUGCUCAGACGCCAUCCCAAGGCUGCAAGCAGGCUCCCCAACUAUCCACGUCUGGAGGUCAGCAGGAGCAGGCCAUCAGAAACACAUAGUUCUGGCGCUUCGGGUUAAACCCUGCCUAUUUCUUCAAAGAUACAGCAUCAUUAAGCUGGAUGAUAUUUUCCUCUCCUGUGCAAAAGCAAUAAAAGCCACCAGCCUGGGCUGUGUAUCCUGCCUGUGCUGCUAACAAGACACAUUCCUUUUUGUUCACGGCAAGUAGUGUAAGUUUCUGUCUUAUGUCACAAUUCCUGACAAGUGCUCCAGCACUAAAACAGUAUCUUGGCACCAAGAAAAUGACCAUCCUUUUAAAAAGAUGAAACUCCCAAGGACACCAAAAGGGUAAGAUUUCAUGGGAGAUAUGCAGCACAAAAGCCAGCCCCUCCUCUUAACCCAGAAGCCAUCCCAUCCAAUCAUGUCAGAACUGUUCUAACAACCAACUUCAAGACAGAAACCGAAAAACUUUCUUGACUCAAAUCACUUGCCUGGGGUUGAUGUUUAAUAUUUCUACACAUCUCAUGAACAGAGGGCAUGGGUAACUUAUGGGGAAAGCCUGAUUCUGAUUCACAUUCUUUUUUUCCACUUUUUAUAAUUAUUUUAAUUCCCUGUGCUUCUUGUGGAUCCUUAAGAAGACUGAAUUCUCAGACCAUAUUAUCCCUUCUCUCAGUUUGUAGUGCAGAAGCCUUAAUCAAAGAGUUGUUUAAAAGUUUAAGGAAAUAGAAAUGCUAAUGACCCUAAUUUGGUCAUGGCAUGUUAGAUAGAUAGAUAGAUAGAUAGAUAGAUAGAUAGAUAGAUAGAUCACUGUACUCCACAAAUAUGUAUGAUUAAAAAUAAUGAUUGUAGUAGUCAGCUCUCUGUUGCUGGCAACAAAUACCUGACAUCCACCACUUAAAGGAGAGAAGGUUAAUUUGGCUCAUGGUUUCAGAGGGUUUGGUCCAUAGUCAGCUGGUUCCCAGGCAGGAAUAUCAUGGCAGAAUUGUAUGGUGGAAGAAAGCUGCUCAUUUUGUGGUGGUUGGGAGGCAGAGCAGGGGAACAGCACUAGAGAGAAAGAGAAGAGAGUCGGGGAUCAGAUAUAGACUCUACUAAGGUCAUGCCUCAGUGACCCAACUGGACACAUCUAGAAGUCUGGGUGCUCCCAAGCCUAUCAAUUUGGCAAUCCAUCUUAACUAUCACAAUAAUAAUUAAUUAAUAAUACAAUAAUUUUUUACAAAGUGUACGCCCCUGAAGAGAGUCCUGUGAUGAAAAAAAAUAUAACAGGCUUGAAUUUCAUAAACAUCAUUAACUUCCUUCUUAAAUAUAUAAUGCAAUUUAGUUUAAUAAAAUAUAGCAUCUAUGGACACAAGUAUGUUUCAGGAACACAAUAAGAAAAGGCCAUAGCAACUGAAAAUCAUGGCUUAUUUAUGUGUUUAGAUCCUUGCAUUUCAGAGCAUGCUGGUGACCUUGCAGUCUAAAAGCUAUGACUGUUUAUCAUCGUCAUCCCAAGAAUACAAGAGGAGACAAAAACUGAACCUACUAAACAGAAUGCAAGCAAAAUCCUAACCCCAAUGCUUGACCCAGGAAGCCCUGGAAUUUGGAAGAAUGAAGGAAAGGGUCAGGGGGUUUACUCAAGCCCUCUGGCUUCACCAUCAUGUCCCUCAGUCUCCCUCAUGAAGUCUGAGCCUUGCAGUGUGAAUGUUACUUGGAAAUCAAGGUCUAUGUACAACAACACUGGCAUUCUGAGAUGAAGUUCAGACCUCAUGUACUGAGUCUCAGUGAUGUUGGGUAUUGACAGGAUAUAGUAUCUCUAAUAUUUCUGCUUUUAAAAAAAAUACCAGAACCAUAAAAAGUUAAGAUCCAAAUGUGUUCUGCUUUGGCUGAGCAAUAUUCAAGUCAGAAAAAGUUCCGGAAGUACAGGUAGCAUUGUGGAGAGGCCAGGCUGUGUCCCCUAACCACAGGAGCCCAGAUGUCCACCCAGCCCAUCCUCCCCAUUCCACUGGGACAACUCCCUAUGGACACAAGGCCCACUCAAUCAGGCAAAGGCCCCUCCUUCAUCCCCAGCCUCUCCCACCCAGAGACAGUUGGAAGCCGGGCUCGUUGGGUGGGGCCUUCAGCCUACAUGUGGAUGUCCCAGAUUCCCAGGAAAUACGUCCCUGUCUCCCUGCUCACAUUCCAAGGCCCCUGCCAGUUCAUGCUUACCCAUCUGGACUCUAGCUGGUGACAUGAAAUCCAGGCUGGGGUGCAACAGAGACUGCCAUCCUGGGAAGGAAAUACUCAAGCAGCCUCCCACGUUCCAGCCCAGAGCAUACUCUAAAGGACAUUUUUUUUGCAGUCCUGGGGAUUGAACCCAGGGCCUUUCUACUGAGCUACCUCCACAGACUCUCUAUUUUUCACUUUUAGACCAGGUCUCACUAAGUUGCUAAGUUGUCCAGGCUGGGCUGGAAUGUGCAAUCUUUCUGCCUCAGCCUCCAAGGGUUCUGAGAUUACAGGCAUGCACCACCAUGCCUGGCUUCCAAGGGUUUUAUAGAAUGACAACAAAGUUCCCAUAAAUAAAGGAAGCAAGUCAGGGAUUUUAGAUAUCUCCUGCCAUGGAUCCUAACCCUCAAGAGGGAGUAGAACCUCUCUGGAUGAUUUUUCCCAGGAAUGCUAGGAAAGGGAGGGAGAAAGGCACUUUUGGGAACAGAACAUUCCCCAGGGCUCCAGACAUCUGGAUGGGUGCAUGUAUGUCUUUGUCUUUCAACUAGGCAAUUCAAUCUCAGGUUAUUUUAUUUGACAAAUAAAACUAAACUGCAUAUUUAUGGACUAAUGAUGUGAGAUAUUGCUCUUUUAUUCGUAUCCACUGCUAUUUAAAGACCAACUGUAAAUAUUACUGGGACUUUUUGCAAGUUGAUAUGACAUAGGUAGGUGGCCCAGAAUAUGGUAUUGUGACUCUGUUAAUGAUAUUGUCUUCAAGGUCAAGGUCAUGACUUUACCUUUUCUUCAGCUACUCAUCCAGAAAAUCUCCUCUCAAUGUCCACAGAAUGGAAUCAUGCAUCUUUACAGCAAUUACUCCUGCCAGGCUUCAUUCUGAGCUUGGGUUCGAGAGCUGGCAGGAGCAUGCUGGACCGUGGUCUUGACAUUCAGCAUCGUGAGGGACUAUUUGGUCACAAGGACAGAAAGAAGCUGCAGGGUAACCACCCUGUCAUGGAACUGAGACAGCUCCCCAUUCCCCUGGCCAUUCCCAUGGGCCAAUGAGCACCCGUCACACUGAAGAACAUGUAUUAGAUGUUGGUUGAAGAUGAGUUUGGGGAAUACAGUUGCAACCAUAAUGUGUUCUGUCAUGUGGCCAGUUCUGCCACAAAAAUAGGAGAGGAGGAAGUCAGGUCACCUUUUCUUUCAAGGGAGAAAAGAGCUUUAGUAGGACAAGCUAAAAGGAGGGUCCCUAUUGGUCCAAGCACCCUGCCCAAAGGACACUGAUCCAGUGGGUGGCAGUGGGCAAGGGAACAAAUCUGAGCCUCAAAUCCACCAGAAGUAGAGCAGGUACCAGAAGGAUGCAGUGUUCUCAAACACCAAUUGCUGCCAAGUGUGGGGCCUUAGCAGUGUCUCAGCAGGCCUGGAUGGACAGAGCAGCCUGUGUGCUCAGGCAGUUCUAGUGGGAUAAUGAUAUAUGUUAAAUCCAUGUGUUGUGUUUCCAAGGGCUCAGGCUGUCCACAGCAAGAUGGAGGUGGGGGACCUAUAGGGGAAAUACCAGAUAGACCUCAUUUCUGAAGGGUCACCUGGUGGAUGGGACAGUCCCUCUGGGGUAUCUUCCAGCUCAGGGAUGACCCAGACCAGCAUCACUCAAAUAGAACCUCUCCCCUACAGAAGCCACAUCACAGGUCAAGGACCAAGGCAUGAGUCAGUGGGGAGAGAGGACUCCAUACAGCAUGAAUGUACAAGAAGCUGUGUUCACCAGCAACUCCUGCUCUGGAUAAACCCAUUCUGUUGGCCAUGGGGAUAAAGACACACAUAACCAUUGGCUUGUCUAACAAGGGUUCUGAUCCUGAAUGGCUUCUGGGUGGCCUUCAGCAAUGGUGUGUUCCAAGCAGGGAUGUUGCUUCUGCCUCCAGCCUUCUCUCUUUACUCACCAGUCUGACUCAAUCCUUACCCAGAAGCUCACCCAAAGCCAAAAAUGGCUGGCACCAAUGCCUAAGCUCUCCCAUGGAGUUCCUAACCCAGGAUUCUUCCAAAGGGCUGGAAAGGCUGUAGAUGCCUGACUCUUGUCCCUGUCUCCCAAGGGUGUUCUGUUGGCCUUAUUCCUGAACAAGGCACCUGCUGGCUUAGAGGAAGACACCUGAACAAGUUUGUGCAUCAGGGACUUCAGAUCUGCAAAGAAGAAUACAAGAUGGCCCCAGGGCUCAGAGCCAGCAUUGCAAAGCUGUGGAGGUGCUGCCAGCAGAGUGCUCUGUCCGAUGGAGACCGGAUCCUGUGGCUAUCCCUCCAAGUCAACAGAUACAGAACAACUCUCUGCGAGCCAGCCCGGUCCCCACGGAGACUUCACCUGUCCAUAUCGUUCAACUGCCUGCAACUUCCAACUGACGAACAUCCACAGCUCUGCAGCCCAGUGACAAACACCAUCUAACAGAUAAGGCUUCUGAAAAGUCAAAGCCAAUACUGCUUCCAUUGAAAAUUUAAUGCUGGCUCCAUCUUUGCCCAUCAUUCUUCUGACUGUUGCACAUAUCCCAAGAGGCCCUUGAAGCUAAAGCACUGCUCUAUAACAGAUAAGAGGAAAAACAACUGUAACAUUUCCACAACAUGCCAUAAGGCCUGGAAAUGUGACUUCAACUGUGAAGUAUCCCCAAGCCAUGAGGAGCAUUCCACAACUUAGCAGACAUCACCUUUAAUGCUUCAGACCAAAUCUCCUGCACUGGCAUCUCCCUCCUCUGCAGCGGGUUUUCAAAGAGCCCCAGAGCUCCUCUAGGGUGUGUCACGUGACAACUCUGCAAGUACAAAAACUCUUUCUCUCCUUGGCUUCAGCCCAAAGAGUUUGCAAAGGGAAACAUAGAAGCCAUGAAAUAGAGACCCCUUUAAAGGCUUGCUUUUUCUUCUGUACUUUGGCUGAUAUUGCUGACCCCAGAGUUGGGAAUCCAAACUCCUAAUGGUCCACAUUAAACCUGGGUACAACCUAUAACAUAAGACAGUCUACAAAUCCUGUUACCUCUUCACCUUCUUCCAGACUCCACUUACUUGUCCUCCUAGGCAGACCCACAACUACCCUUUACAAUGAUAAAAAGCCCCAGCACAGCAGAGCGUCUGGGAGGCUGUGUUCCAACCUGUAUGGUCGGUGACAAAUCUUUGGUCUAAUACUAG